ACGGCGAGGAAGGAUGCAGCGGCGGUGGUAGCGACUCUAUGAGACGUCCGGCUGCCAUUGGCGAUCAGCAAGGAAGCCCAGAUAGAGUUAGUGAGAGAGACAGAGAGAAAGGUCUUCCUUCCAUGUGACAUUUUUAAUACAACGUGGAUUUUCAUAAGGAUGAUAUGCUAAGAAUGAACUGAAGUGACAUGUGUGACCUCACCUCAUACAUUUCAUGAAUGACUUGGAAAAGGUAUAAAGGAGAAUAAAACAAGAUGCUAGAAAUUUAAUACUGGCUAACAAGAGUGACACUUUGGAAAACAAAAUGAGUAUAAAGAAAAAAUGACCAUAACAUACAACAUCUCUUUCAAGACUCCUGGUGAUUAACUAUAUUUAUUUGAAAGCCUGGAUAGGGGCUGGCAUUGUGGCAUAGCAGGGAUUCUAUAGGAAAUCGUCACCAAUUUGGUGGGGAGGGAGCACAUCCUGAGGACACAAGUGGGUUUUCAGGACACCUGCCAGAAGCACGGAUGAUGGGAAUGCGCAGUAGCCAGACGUCGGUUUGUCCUCACUGCAGACAUUCUUGUCCUGCCACCCGACUCCAGCAUGAAUGUCUUUUCACUCUCUAUCAGAUCAAGUGUACAAAAGUUUUUAAUUUUAAUAAAGUCAAAUUUAUUUAUAUUUCAAGUAAA